AAGAUCACAAAAAUCUAGUGUAGAUUCCCAGGUUUCUUGCGGUUCACCCUCACAUCCCACCAAGUUCAGCAUGCUGCCUCCUCUCACCUCUUCUUCUCCUUAUUCUUGACAGUAGGGAAGGGAAGGACCGAGAGAUUCCAAGCAGGGAGGGACAGCAGGUGGAGGGGUAGAAGAGGAGGCGGAGGGCGAAAUGGCUAGAAGAAGGUUGAUGGAACUUACAAAUCCAAAUCCUGCAGUCUUGUAAAUUGGUCCAACCAUCGUGUAACCUUUACAGUACUUUGAAAGGAAUUGCUUGAUAUAUGGGAUUUCAUGGACAAUGGCCGCAACACCACCACUGUGGCUUCCUUUCUUCAGGGCCUCAACAUACUCAUUUGAAAACCCAUACAGGCAUUUUUCUACUUAAAAUGAGGAGAAAGUGUUUGAGGAAUCAGUUACGAAACUGUGGGCAAAAACUAGCGUCGAGAAAGAGAAGUAGAAGAUUGUCCCAAGCUGCUGGCUAACUGGACCCCUAAACUCCAUGUUGAUGCGAUGUUCGAGCACCCACACAACAAAUCCAGUGUAGAAGAAAGCAGCCAAGCUCCCCAACCACAAAUCAAAGAAAUAAUUGCAAAGGCAUAAAAAUUCUGAUACUAAUCAGACAACAAAAGAUAACUGGAUAGCUACCUGCAGAAGCCGCCUGCACCACAUCGUUACCCGAAUCUUUGGUGUGGAGAACCAGUCUCGUGGUGUAGUUGCUGUUGAUGGAGUAGAAGUCAUCGAUCGCCAUCGAUAUGCUAGUUUGCCCCAUUUUUCCGACCAAGGUGGUCAGGUCAAGGAUUACUCCAACAUGAAAGGGAUUUUCCAUAAUGUUGCUGCCAUUUCUCUGUGCUGCUGCAAAGAGAAUGAACAUGAACAGGAAGACAAUGACACCAGUACAGGGAAGUGGGUGGAAAAAUCUCAGCUCUAAACAAAUAGGAGAGUAGAAAGAUUCAAACAGAUUGAAGGCAUGGGAAGUUUCUCAUCAGCAUACUUCCAAUCGAAAGGAAACAGAGCUUAGGGUACUGUUCAUAAAAGAAUAAUUCCAUAUGCACAUGUAGAGCACAUCAUUGCAAUCUUGGAGGGCAAGAGAUGGAUUAUAAGAGAAAACACAGAAGCUAUAGCAUCUUCCCUCAAUGGCAUUGACUUGCCAUGGAUUUCUGAGAAGCUGAAACAAGUCUAAUCAUAAUAAGAUGGCUUACUUUGUCAAACUCAGAUUUAAUCCAAGCACUAUGAUGAGCUCAGAGUAUAAUAGUUGCCUCGAUGACUUUGAUUAGUAUGAAAGGAAUUGAUUUGGAAAAUGAUGUGCAUCAUCAACAAAAUGCUACUAGGUGGACACCUCAUCUCCAUCAACUCUUUUGAGUUCAAGCUCCUGUUGUAGUUUGGUUCAUCUUCUUGAUUGAGCUAUUAUUUUGAUUAUGGCAAAUACCAGAUGACAUUCAUGACAAAUCUUACUUGAUAGAACACAACUCAGUAACAAUCUUGCUGUAUAGAUUGCAUCUUUGAAAACUAAACAGGCUUUCCUAUGCUGUGAACUGACAUUGUAUUGUCUUCUCAAAUCUGUGGAGAAUAACUAAACCAUUAAUCUGA